rnacentral:rRNA from 1 species
UGAGCAAUCUGCCCUUCUCAUCGGAAUAAGCGUUGGAAACGACGUCUAAUGCCGAAUACGACCUCCUUUCGCAUGAUCGGAGGUGGAAAGCUCCGGCGGAGAAGGAUGAGCUCGCGGCCUAUCAGCUAGUUGGUGAGGUAAUGGCCCACCGAGGCGACGACGGGUAGCCGGCCUGAGAGGGUGACCGGCCACACUGGGACUGAGACACGGCCCAGACUCCUACGGGAGCAG